GCGGGUGUAGUUCAAUGGUAGAACAUCAGUUUUCCAAACUGAUAACGGCAGUCCGAUUCUGCUCACCCGCU
rnacentral:tRNA from 2 species